AUUCACGCUUCUUCUGCUUACGUGGUCCGGCAAAAAAAGCAGAAGAUGGAGGAAUUGUUGGGGUGACUGUUUGAGGAGGGGCGCUCAGAGAGACUGACAGAUGGACCGGCGCCGCGGCAGGACACCACAUCCCUUCAGGUCCCACUGGCAGAGUGGACACAUGACGUGCUUCAGCCAUCUCAUCCAACUCAAUAAAACUGAACAAUUCCUCAAUUCACCACAGACGGAUACAGAAGGUUUUGCCAAAUUGUUUUCAUGACUAACAUGUUACAACAAAUAGAGAGUCCGAAAGUCAACUGCCAAACUCAACACCAGCUGAUAGACUUCAGAGAGACUUAACACCCUUUUUAAGAGCUGGAUGAACUUAGCGUGAUUACUGGCAGACAUAGGAAGAAAAACGAACUGAAUUAGUUAUCUGACACUUCAACUCAAUCCAAGAAAAAAUUGAUUUCAAACAUCUGGACAACAUUCAUGUCAUUGGAAGUAGGAUGGUCAACAGGUCCGUUUCCAUUGUGUUCAGAGACACCCAGAAGUUCUCACCAGCUUUGGAUCUCAAGAUAUACACCAAGCAUCCAUUGUGAGAUCCCUACUGAAGAAACCUUUUUGACAUUUUUGAUUGAAGAGAAUGUGCAUUUAUUUGGAAUCAAAGUUUCUGUUGCUUAACUCUAAUUGUGAACUAUGACUGCAACAAGCAGGGAUCUUGGAACCAUCUGGUCUGAUUGGUCCAUUUCUUAACACAGGCUGAAUUAUUCCAAAUCUAAUACUAUACAUCUGAAUUUUGACAUUCUGUGAAAUAAUAUGUACCAUUUUACAUUUUGCAAAAAAUAUGCACAAAUACACAGUAUUUAUUUGAAGUAAGACUGUUACAAAACUAGCACGAUUUGUUCAACAUUACCAUUGGCUAGCAUGCUAACUCAAAUAUUCCUUAAUCAUGUAGUGUUCACGUUAAAAUGCUGUAUUAUACUAGAUAAUGCGAUUUUAAUUUGAAUAUUUUCAGUUUUAUUUAAGCAGAGGUACAUGUUGAGACCAAGGUCACCUUUAAGACAAGCCCUGCAAACAAAUCAUAAAGUAUGCAUAUAAAAAAAUAUAAAAUAUUAACAGAAGUAGCAUACACGCAUAAACAAAUAAACACAUUAAAAUCAUUAAAAAAAAAUGUCCUUUGAAAAACUGACCAACAUUACUCUGAUGCAUUCCUAUGCUAGACAACUUUUGAAUCAAUAACAAGUGAUCAGCAGCAGUGGUGCUGUGGCCCUAUUAAAAUAACAUUUUCUGAUCAAAGUUGAGCAUUUACUAAGAACUCAAGAUUUCUUGUGAGGCAAGGUAACCGAGAAACAGGACUUUAGUUGUCAAGAACACUGGCAUCACCUCUCUUAUGUCAAGUUAGAAAUACAAGUUACUGAGUCAG
ensembl:lncRNA